CCAAAGCUAAUUUCCUGAAUUUCUACGCAGUUUUAACAUGACACAGGCCCUUCUAACUAGUUCUUUUUAGAACAGCAAAAAAUGUCACCAGACACUCAUCAAGCUAGGAAUUUAUCAGAGGGUUAUUCAACAUGCCCACUGUGUCAAGCAUUGAGGCUAUCAUAUUGAACAGCCAAAGGUGAGAGAUUGACCAUGGUCCUGCCUGAAGUCACCAAACAGUCACAGGCAUGCAGUUUUGUUUCUGGAACAUUUCCGCAAGUCACUCUCUGCAGAAAGAAGAGCAACCCACGCGAGACCUGCCGUCCAGCAUCCAUGUGAUCUAGCUAGCAGGCACGAGAGGCCACCUAAUCUGCCCUUCACACAUGUUGCUCUACUCACCCAACCAUGGUACUACACAAUCAGCAACUAAAGGGUCCCCAUGCAUGAGGCGGCUCAGCCGGAUGCUGGAUUCUCUUUGUGGUAUUAGUCUAUUUAAAGAAUAACAGCCGGUGACCAAAGAAUAUCCUUUCGUCUCACAGUUCUGACAUAACUUAGUGACAAUUUUGGUUUUCAGGUGUUGUGAUUGUGCCAGUGUACGUGAUGGGAGAAGAGAAUGCCACCCUCCCACCUAAUGUCACAAUUGUGCAGGUGGCAAGCAACAGGUCAUCUCUAAUUGACAACUCUUUGUGUGUCUAUGAGUGUUCAGGUGUCAUAAAUUAGACUCAAACAAUGUCUCCACGGUGUGAAUCACAUUUGUGUGUUUGUGUGUUGUAAAUUAUGCUACACUAAUAUCUUGUGUGUGGUGUGAUAGCUGUUCUCGCCAGCGAUGAGGUGCUGUAUUAUGGCAGGGCUGGCCUGGAGGCAAAUACAGUAAGGGGAAGCAUUCAGGAUGUAUAUGCAUAUAUAAACUCAGCAAAAAAAGAAACGUCCCUUUUUCAGGACCCUGUCUUUCAAAGAUCAUUCGUAAAAAUCCAAAUAACUUCACAGAUCUUCAUUGUAAAGGGUUUAAACACUGUUUCCCAUGCUUGUUCAAUGAUCCAUAAACAAUUAAUGAACAUGCACCUGUGGAAUGGUAUUUAAGACCCUAACAGCUUACAGACGGUAGGUAAUUAAGGUCACAGUUAUGAAAACUUAGGACACUAAAGAGGCCUUUUUACUGACUCGCAAAAACACAAAAAGAAAUAUGCCCAUGGUCCCUGCUCAUCUGCGUGAAUGUGCCUUAGACAUGCUGCAAGGAGGCGUGAGGACUGCAGGUGUGUCCAGGGCAAUAAAUUGCAAUGUCCGAACUGUGAGACGCCUAAGACAGUGCUACAGGGAGGCAGGACAGACAGCUGAUCGUCCUUGCAGUGGCAGACCACGUGUAACAACACCUGCACAUGAUCGGUACAUCCGAACAUCACACCUGCGGGACAGGUACAGGAUGGAAACAACAACUGCCCGAGUUACACCAGGAAUGCACAAUCCCUCCAUCAGUGCUCAGACUGUCCGCAAUAGGCUGAGAGAGGCUGAACUGAGGGCUUGUAUAGGCCUGUAGUAAGGCAGGUCCUCACCAGACAUCACCAGCAACAACAUUUCCUAUGGGCACAAACCCAUCGCCGCUGGACCAGACAGGACUGGCAAAAAGUGCUCUUCAUUGAUGAGUCGUGGUUUUGUCUCACCAGGGGUGAUGGUCGGAUUCACAUUUAUCGUCGAAGGAAUGAGCGUUACACCGAGGCCUGUACUCUGGAGCGGGAUCGAUUUGGAGGUGAAGGGUCCGUCAUGGUCUGGGGCAGUGUGUCACAGCAUCAUCGGACUGAGCUUGUCGUCAUUGCAGGCAAUCUCAACGCUGUGCGUUACAGGGAAGACAUCCUCCUCCUUCAUGUGGUACCUUUCCUGCAGGCUCAUCCUGACAUGACCCUCCAGCAUGACAAUGCCACCAGCCAUACUGCUUGUUCUGUGCGUGACUUCCUGCAAGACAGGAAUGCCAGUGUUCUGCUAUGGCCAGCGAAGAGCCCGGAUCUCAAUCCCAUUGAGCACGUCUGGGACUUGUUGGAUCGGAGGGUGAGGGCUAGGGCCAUUCCCCCCAGAAAUAUACUGGAACUUGCAGGUGCCUUGGUGGAAGAGUGGGGUGACAUCUCACAGCAACAACUGGCAAAUCUGGUGCAGUCCAUAAGGAGGAGAUCCACUGCAGUACUUAAUGCAGCUGGUGGCCACACUAGAUACUGACGGUUACUUUUGAUUUUCACCCCCCUUUGUUCAGGGACACAUUAUUCCAUUUCUGUUGGUCACAUGUCUGUGGAACUUGUUCAGUUUAUGUCUCAGUUGUUGAAUCUUGUUAUGUUCAUACAGAUAUUUACACAUGUUAAGUUUGCUGAAAAUAAACACAGUUGACAGUGA